AUACGUAGGGUGCAAGCGUUGUGCGGAAUCACUGGGCGUAAAGGGCGUGUAGGCGGAGUAGUAAGCUAGAGGUGAAAGCCCGGGGCUCAACCCCGGAGGGUCUUCUAGAACUGCCACUCUUGAGAGGGUUAGAGGUUAGCGGAAUUCCUGGUGUAGCGGUGAAAUGCGUAGAUAUCAGGAGGAACACCGGAGGCGAAAGCGGCUAACUGGGACCAAUCUGACGCUGAGGCGCGAAAGCAUGGGGAGCAAACGGGAUUAGAAACCCCAGUAGUCC
rnacentral:rRNA from 1 species